UUUAAAAAAAAAGUACUGUAAAAUUAGUUCAAACCUCAAACCCAAUCGGAAAUAUUCGGGAUCGGGCAAAACAAAAAGCAAAACAAAACGAGCAGCACCACGAGUCCUCGCCGGACGACUGAUCCCGCCUCAACAACCAAAUCCGAGCUCCCGCCAUGGCAGCAGCUUCCGUCGGCGCCACGUUAUCGCGAGCGCUGGAAACCCACAGCGACCCCUCCCCUGAAUCCUUAUCCAAGGCGCCGUCCUCGUCGUCAUCGCGCGCCGCCGAGGCAGAGGCGAGCCCGGUGUCAACUGAUGGCGGCGCCGAGGAGGACGUGCUCGACCUGGACUCCCCGUGGGUAGCGGCGGCCGAUGCGGAAUCGAGGCUGGAGGAAGCCGCAAUGGCGGCAGCUGCAGCAGCACUCCACCUUCGCGCCGGGAACGAGGCAGAUGCGGAUGAAAUACGAGACAACCAGCAGCGACAGGACGACGAGCUGAUGGCACUGGAAGCAAUAUAUGGGGAUGAUCUUGCUGUACUAGAAAACAAAGGAGGGCUCCGCUACUUCCAGAUAUACAUACAUUACGAAUUGCAUGAUGGUAUUGAGGUGUGCGCUAAGAUAUCCUCGGCAAAUCGAAAUCGAGAACCAGAAGGAUGUCCUAAUGAUGACACAGAAGAUGAAUUCUGUUACAGCUGCAACUUUAAGUACCUCCCUCCGUUGAUAUUGACAUGCUUACUUCCAAAAUCUUAUCCUAGCAAAGACCCCCCAUAUUUCACUGUCACCGCUCAAUGGAUGGAUGGGCCGAGUGUUUCUCAACUCUGUGAGAUGCUUGACGCCGCUUGGUCAGACCUUCUUGGCCAGGAAGUAGUUUAUCAAUGGGUUGAGUGGAUACGUAAUUCUUCUUUGUCACAUCUCUCGUUUGAUGGAAAAAUAAUGCUGGGGGAAGACAUUAUUACUUCUAUAAAUGUUCAAAGACUACCCUCUCAACCAGGCCAUCUGAAAGGGGCAAAUCAAUCCUGGUCGCACGUUUGUGAAACCCACCUCCCACUUUCUUCCUCAACCGUCCGAUGUGGUGAAUUUUUUCUCACCAGUUGCUUCUCUGGAUGAGUCUAUGACGCCUGGGGCCAGCUACGUGCGGGGGCCAACGGUUAGAGACAGCCACGUACACUCGUUCGGGUCACCUUCCGUCUCCAUCCGCGGGACAGGGAAAACCUAGAUCGAGGCAUCCAAAGCCGCGACCCAAUCCCCGCCCCUCCUCUCGUCUCACCUCCUCCCCAAUCAGCGGAGGCCAGCGGCGCGCCGCCUCUCCCCCGAAUCCGCGGCGCCGGAGAAGGAGCAGCCAGCCCGAGCAGCUUGGGCGGCCCAUUCAGGUGGCGACAUCGGUGGCGGCGGGCGGAGACAGGCUGGCGCGGGGCGGAUCCUCGGCAGCGGCGAACGGAGGCGUCGGGCGCGGCCGGAGACGGUCCGGCGCGUGACGGAACCGCGGCGGCUUCGACUGGAGGCGCCGGGCCUCGGCCGCGGCGCGGAGGCCGGGACUGAGAUCCAGGCUCGCGCGCGUCCUGCUCGUCGACAAGGUGGACUACCUCCAGUGGAUCGGCACCGCCGCGGCCUUCUUCUUCGUCACCAUCCUCGUUGCAGUGACGCAGAGACGUUCUUUGGAUGGCUGCAGCCUGCAGACGCGCGCUGGAUCUGGAACAACCGAGUAUGUAACUCGCCAUGACUGGUUUGUUUGUUCUGUUCGAUUUGUUCCCUCACUGGUAGCUUGGGUAAGUAUGCCUCGUAUUUCUUAUCUAUGAAUUGAAUAAAUCUUCUUUUGGUAUUUGUUUAUGUCAUGGUGUCAAAUCUGGGGAAUACAUUAUAUAUGUGUGUGCUUGGUAAAAAAUUCCUCGCUGAGAUCCGGAGUUUUGGUUUUGGAGCAUUGCGUAUCUUUUGCCCAGAUUUGAUUGCAAUUACCAGACAUUUUUUCCGGAUAUUUUCAAGGUUUACUGAGUGGCAAGGCUAGCGAGUGCGCAGCCAGCCCACCUGGGUUUGAACCCCGACCUAGCGGUAUUUUACCUGGGAGGGGCGGACUUUAAACAGGAUUAUCAUCCUAGCGUCCAUUCGCGAGGAGAGUUUCAUCCUAUCUAACUAACAACAUAUAGCCAAGGGAGGGAGGUAUCAUUCCCCUGUUGGUCAACGUUUUUUAGGUUUACCACGAGCAUGCACAUGAGGUAAAGCACUCCUUAUGUCAAUUCAACCUUGAGCAGGUACAUGCCUAAAUUUUCCUAUUUGGAUGGGUGCCAUGGCAGCGGCCAAUAGCAAUGUUGUACUGGAGGUUAACUCGAGUUACAGUACCAUUCCCGAUGCAGUACAUUGUUUGAGAUAAUUCUCUAUUUUUUAUAAGCUUUAUGCUCUGAUCAUAAUCAGCUUGCUACUAUGUUUAGUAUUUGGAUAUUCAUGACAUUUUAAGGAUGCACAAAAUGCUAGAUUGUUAACCUUUGCCUUCAUUCUUUUCAAAAAUGUUUAUUAGUAGUUGCAUAUUCUUGAAAUUUUGACAUGCCUGAGUUUUAUUGUUGUUGUUUUAGGUCGAGGAGACAAACCAACAUCAUAUCUGACAGGAAAAUCAGAGGCAAGAACAUGAAGCUAAAUUUCAUUCACUGACCUGACCAAGAGCAGUGGCCAGCUGUAGGUCAUCGACCCCUUUUACAACUGGGCCGGAGGCUACAUGUCCUUUCCGGCGACCUCGCCAUCUCCAUCCCAUCCAUAGGCUUACAACAGCUCCAACAUGUCAUUUUUCUAUGCAACCGACUCUUUGGUUUAUGCUAGCUGGUCAUGGAUGUGUGAUGCUAUUCCGCUGGUGAGCAUGAAAGUAAAUCAUGAAGAUAUGAUUCACACUUGGAACACAGUAGGUCAAAUUACAAGGUCAAGAAGUUCAAGAUGAAUGUCACUAGGGAGGAAGCUCUCAUAAAACAAUGCAGGCAUGAGUUUGCCAUACUUGAUAAGGAAGAGAAUAUAUGAAGCUAGGCCAAAGUUAGGGACCGACACUGCUGCUAGCUCAUGUGGAACGGGCAACAAACCAAACCAGAAGUUGGUCUGAUGUAUCUGCAAAUGGUGUAUGUGUAUAAGGUCAUGUUCUGUACAGCCAUAUCUUCAUGACGGGCUCGGCUGCAGGGGCUAGGUGAGAGCUCAUCAGUAUAUGUUAGUAAUGCUCACUACCUCGGCGUCCACUGGUACUUGGUGCGACUUCCAUACAUCAUCAAGCUAGCGAGAUGGGCUCACCGCCUUGACAGCAUCAAGCUAAUGUGAUGCCCUUAUUAUUUGCCUAUAUGCUUCCGCUGGAUGUGUCUUCUAUGCUGCGGCAUUGACCUGCUGUGGUAGCUACGUAGAUAGGGCUAUGUAAAAGUUAUUUUGUGUAAGUGCAGUACAUCCUCUGGCUGAUUGGGAGGCUUGUAAGACAAUCCUUCAUCCAGACCCUAUGUUGAGAAUACGGGCUUAGCUUUAUAUGCUCUUUAACUACUCCUAUGCAUGACACGAACUGUUGCCCAGGAAGAAUUUUUGUUGAUACACUUUC